GUUGGAUUGCGCUGAAGAGGCGCAACAGUUGGCUCAGGUAUUGAAUUAAAAGAACCUGAUCCAGGUCUAGUUUUUGCUCCAGCAAUUCUUCCUGACUGAAUAGUACUAAUAGGAAUAGACGUCAAUCUUGCAGAAUCCAACCUAUGACAAACUGUAUGAGAAAACUUUGUUCUCCUAAUCCAAGAAUUAGCUUCAUCAUCCAUUUCUUCAAUCAGCUUACAACACUAGAUAACCAAUAAAAAAUUUGUUCUUUUCCUCCCCCUCCACCUCAGAAAAAGAUUCAAAUUCAAGAAUUCUCUUUGCCAAAUUUUCUAUUGACAAUUCCUUCUAGUCCAUCAAAGGAUGGUAGUAAAUCAAGAAAUCAAACUCCAACCACCAUAACCAUAAAUGA
rnacentral:misc_RNA from 1 species